rnacentral:misc_RNA from 1 species
AACGCACGAGACCUGCGGACCUGCGGAGGGAUCAUUAAAAAAGGGUCGUAAGACCUAUUUUUAAAACCUACCCACCGCCUCUCAUCUAUGGAUGAAAGAUAUUCUUGUCUAUAGAUAAGAUGUAGGAGGUAUGGCUUUUUAAAAUCCAAUUAUAAAAUAUAUCGUCUAAUGACGAAAUAAAAAAUUUAAAAACUUUCAGCAAUGGAUCUCU